GUAUUUUCAGAUAACUCCAGCAUAAAAUAUUCAGAAACAAGUUUCUUCAAAAAAGUGAUCGCCAACUGUACACAGGAGAGAUUGGGCACGGACAACAGGAGAUAAAGAGCCUACACAUCUGUUUGUCAUCUUAACUCCACAAUAACUCAGGGGAGCAAGAGGACUCUGGGGGACUCAUGGAUGUGCAUGACCCAUACAAGCAGCUCUAUUUACAAUAGCCGAGACACGGACACCACUAAGGACCCAUCGAUGGAUGAACAGAGAAAGAAGUUGUGCGAGAUACACGAUGGAAUAUUUGGCCACACGAAAUGAGAAAAUCCUACUAUUUGCAACAACAUGGAUAGAACUUGAAGGCAUUCUAUUAGUGAAACAAAUCAGACAGUAGAAGACAAAUACCGUAUGAUUUCAUUUAUA